rnacentral:rRNA from 1 species
UCCAGACUCCUACGGGAGGCAGCAGUGAGGAAUAUUGGUCAAUGGGCUAAGGCCUGAACCAGCCAAGUCGCGUGAGGGAAGACGGUCCUAUGGAUUGUAAACCUCUUUUGUCGGGGAGCAACGAGGCCACGUGUGGCCGAAGUGAGAGUACCCGAAGAAAAAGCAUCGGCUAACUCCGUGCCAGCAGCCGCGGUAAUACGGAGGAUGCGAGCGUUAUCCGGAUUUAUUGGGUUUAAAGGGUGCGUAGGUGGCAUAAUAAGUAGCUAGUGAAAUCUGGUGGCUCAACCAUUCAGACUAUUAGCUAAACUGUUAAGCUCGAGACCGUUAGGGGUAACUGGAAUUUCUAGUGUAGGAGUGAAAUCCGUAGAUAUUAGAAGGAACACCAAUAGCGUAGGCAGGUUACUGGGACGGUUCUGACACUAAGGCACGAAAGCGUAGGGAGCAAACGGGAUUAGAUACCCGGGUAA